GGGGUUGAAUUUUUGUCUUUGUCGUUUUCAGUCCUUAAUAAAUUGGCCCUACAUCUGUAGUGUAGUGGUUAUUCAGUGCCCACUGCAUCAAGGCCCAUUUUCCUGAUAACAGGAGUGAGAUAUGAUUACAAGGACUGAAUGUACAGUUGUUCUUGAAUAUAGUCAUGCAACACAACAUGAUAAUCACUGUCCUCUGCACAAGAUUUAACAUUAGCCCGGUAACAUGGUCUUUUUGACUUUUUCCAACAUAUCCUCUCAUAUUUAUUUGUUUAUAUUCUGUAGGGAUUCAAUGACUUGACUGUUAUGUACUUCCAGUAGGUGGCGAUGGAGCUCAAGAAAUGCUGAUAUCUAAACAUGCAGUAGCUACUUCAAUGAGGGGGGUGUCAAUAAAAGUGUCCAUGGGGAAAAUGUUAGAGUCACUUCGUGUGCUGCUUUCAGACAGAAGCUCAUCAUGCUGACAUUAUUUAUUUUGCUUUGGCUCACUGGUCUUUGUCUGGGUGUUGAAGUUCACCAAACACCUUCAGAAGUUUUCAGGACACCUGGAGAAAAUGUCCAGCUGGUCUGCAGCCAUGGAAAGACCGACUACACACUCAUGCAGUGGUACCAGAAAUCCCCUGGAGACCAAGCCCUAAAGCGCAUUGGACAUUUAAACUACAACAACAAAGAGCAUGAGAAAUCAUUUGAGAAACAUUUUAAUAUUACAGGAGACUUGACUGGAAGUCAACCAAAGAAUGCUUCUAUGUUUAUAGUGGACCUAAAGCCUGAGCACAGUGCAGUGUAUUACUGUGCAGCAAGCUAUGCACACUGAGUGGAAAACACCUUUCUUUAAUACAAAAACUCAGAACCAUGAAAUCAUCAAAGUGGAUGGUUUUAAACUGAACAGACUCCUCCCACAUCUUGGUUAGAUCCCAGCUGACUACAGGGUGAUGCUCUGAUCCCAACAGCUGCAGGGAGACAGCUAUGAAACUCACUGGGUAAUUAAACUAUCCAGCUGUCACAUUUGCAGAACAACAUAGAGAUCAUUUCAAU
rnacentral:lncRNA from 1 species